CCUAAAAUUAAGCCUAAUAUACCCUUAUGAAAGACAUACCCCUACUAAAAAUAAAUAAAACAUUUUAUCAGUUUAGUAAAGGCGAUUAAAAAACUUCCUAGCGCUUUAUCUCAAGUACCGCAAGGGAAAAAUGAAAUAGUUCUGAAAUAGCCCUAAAGCAAAACACAGCAGAGACACUCCCUCGUACCUUUUGCAUCAUGGUUUAGCUAGUCUUCCUCAAGCAAAGUGAAACAUCAGUUUGACCCCCCGAAACUAAGCGAGCUACUUCAAAACAGCUCAAUGGAGCCAACCCGUCUCUGUCGCAAAAGAGUGGGAUGAUUUUUAAGUAGUGGUGAAAAGCCUACCGAGCUUAGAGAUAGCUGGUUAUUCAGGAAAAGAAUUUUAGUUCUACCUUAAGUUUUCUUAUUUAUUCUAUAAGCCCAUUAAGCUUAAGAGCUAUUCAAAUAAGGCACAGCUUAUUUGAAAAAGGAUACAACCUAUAAGAAAGGGUAAAAUUUGUUUGCACAAAGUAAGUGGGCCUAAAAGCAGCCACCUUUAAGAAAGCGUUAAAGCUCUCUUUCCCAACCCCCCCCAAUACCCAAAAAUACCUUUAACCCUUUAUUUUUACUGAAUGAGUCUAUACAAUUAUAGAAGCCCCCAUGCUAAAACUAGUAACAAGAAAUUGACUUUCUCCAAAGUACAAACAUAAGCCAAAAUGGACAAACCAUUGGUCGUUAGCGUCAAUAUGUUAAUAUAGUAACCAUGCUAGAAAACUCUAUUACCUCCUACGUUAACCUUACACAAGUGUACUCCUGGAAAGAUUAAAAGAAAGGGAAGGAACUCGGCAAAUAAUAACCCCGCCUGUUUACCAAAAACAUCGCCUCUUGACAUACCAUAAGAGGUCCAGCCUGCCCAGUGAUAUAAUUAAACGGCCGCGGUACCCUGACCGUGCAAAGGUAGCAUAAUCACUUGUUCUCUAAAUAAGGACUCGUAUCAACGGCAUCACGAGGGUUAUACUGUCUCCCCAUUCUAAUCAGUGAAACUGACUUCCCCGUGAAGAGGCGGGAAUGCUAAUACAAGACGAGAAGACCCCAUGGAGCUUUAAACCCAAUGUCAACCUCCACUAAACCUACCUAAAAAACAGAGAGGCUAUGAACAUUGGUUUUGGGUUGGGGUGACCACGGAGAAAAACAAAACCUCCAUGACGAAAGGACCUUAAUCCUAAUCUACGAGCUACUACUCCAAGAAUCACUAAUUUGACAUAUCUGAUCCGGCAACCGAUCAACGAACCAAGUUACCCUGGGGAUAACAGCGCAAUCCAUUUCAAGAGCCCCUAUCGACAAAUGGGUUUACGACCUCGAUGUUGGAUCAGGGUAUCCCAGUGGUGCAGCCGCUACUAAAGGUUUGUUUGUUCAACAAUUAAAAC
rnacentral:rRNA from 1 species